UACGAAGGGGGCUAGCGUUGUUCGGAAUCACUGGGCGUAAAGCGCACGUAGGCGGAUUUUUAAGUCAGGUGUGAAAUCCCGGGGCUCAACCUCGGAACUGCCUUUGAUACUGGAGAUCUUGAGUCCGGAAGAGGUAAGUGGAACUGCGAGUGUAGAGGUGAAAUUCGUAGAUAUUCGCAAGAACACCAGUGGCGAAGGCGGCUUACUGGUCCGGAACUGACGCUGAGGUGCGAAAGCGUGGGGAGCAAACAGG
rnacentral:rRNA from 1 species